ensembl:lncRNA
CAUACUAGAGAGCUCAUCUAUCUAAACAGACUUGUCACAUAUCCUCGACUGAGGGAUGACCAUAGAGACAUACUAGAGAGCUCAUCUAUCUAAACAGACUUGUCACAUAUCCUCGACUGAGGGAUGACCAUAGAGACAUACUAGAGAGCUCAUCUAUCUAAACAGGCUUGGUUGAAAUGGCUGAUCCUCUUGUUGUGAUGUUAACAGUAACCAGCUGUAUUUGUCACAGUACUACAGAUUCCUUUAUUAAAAGAUGUGACUCUGUACCACAGUACUACAGAUUCCUUAAUUAAGAUGUGACUCUGUACCACAGUACUACAGAUUCCUUUAAGAUGUGACUCUGUACCACAGUAUUACAGAUUCCUUUAUUAAAAGAUGUGACUCUGUACCACAGUAUUACAGAUUCCUUUAUUAAAAGAUGUGACUCUGUACCACAGUACUACAGAUUCCUUUAAGAUGUGACUCUGUACCACAGUACUACAGAUUCCUUUAAGAUGUGACUCUGUACCACAGUACUACAGAUUCCUUUAAGAUGUGACUCUGUACCACAGUACUACAGAUUCCUUUAAGAUGUGACUCUGCACCACAGUACUACAGAUUCCUUUAAGAUGUGACUCUGUACCACAGUACUACAGAUUCCUUUAAGAUGUGACUCUGCACCACAGUACUACAGAUUCCUUUAAGAUGUGACUCUGUACCACAGUACUACAGAUUCCUUUAAGAUGUGACUCUGCACCACAGUACUACAGAUUCCUUUAAGAUGUGACUCUGCACCACAGUACUACAGAUUCCUUUAAGAUGUGACUCUGCACCACAGUACUACAGAUUCCUUUAAGAUGUGACUCUGCACCACAGUACUACAGAUGGAUCUUAUAUUUUCUUGUAAAUGAAUUGUUGUUGAUCAUUUUGAUCGAGACAUAAAUAUUUUAAGAACUAUUUUAAAUAUAGACUUUAUUUUCCUUUUCUAGGUAAAGUCAAGAUCUAGUUAGCGUUUACUAAUUAAACAACAUCUCUCAUCCAUUUCCUUUCAAAAAGAAAUGAAAGAAUAUCCUUUUUCAGUUUUGUUGUACACCCAUUAUACAUUAUGUAAUGGGGGAAGAAAUCACAAAACUGUUUAUCAAUUAAAAACACUAUUUUAUAUAUCCUGAAUGACACGUAUAUCUAUAGUAAUUCAUUAUAUUGUGGAGAGCAUAUUUUUUAGGAGGGUAACUGGAGUAGCGAGUUGUAGGCUGAAUAGAAACUAUUUAAGAUGCUACAGGUAGCUACAGUAUAGAAAGAGCUCAUACUGCUGAGACAACUCACAACGUCUGGGCGCGGUUACCAGAGAGGAAACUAACCGUGUUGUUGCUUCGCCUCUCUUUAAGACGUAAUGUUUCCCCUGAUCCCGCGUCAUGCUAGCAAGCCAAGGCUUUAUUAGAAACAUGUUGAAUGUGUGUCCUUUGCUGCUUGUGCAUCCGUCCAUCCAUCCACCUGGCACGGGACAGGUCAAAGGGCAUGCUCCACUAGUAGAAUGGAAGCAUGCUGUUUUGACCUCUCACCUUUGACUCUUGACCUCCACUUUGACUGACAGCGUCCACUUUGAGCUGCAUAGGUUAUAACUUCCAUAUGAACCUUGAUAGACAGGACUUAACUAACCCAGAACAACAACCCUACAUUAGUUCGACAUCAACAAACACCCCCCCCAAGAGUAGCAAAAUCAGGAGCACCUUUCUUUUAAAGUCCUCUUCUUAAAAGACUGUUAGUAUAUUAAUACUCAUGAUUAUAAUGAUCAUUAUUAUGCAGAUGUGUCGGAGACAACAUUUCUAGAGGAGAUCACUAUUUUGCACAUAAACCACUAUCUAGUUUGACAAUGACUGCUCUUACAAGAUAAAAGGCGCUGUCUAGAACCUUAAUUAAAGGGUUAUUCGGCUGUCUCCAUAGGAGAACCCUUUUGGGUUCCACGUAGAACUCUUUCAAUGGAGGGUUCUAAAUGGAACCAAAAAAAGGGUUCUGUCUAGAACCAAAGAGUUCUGCUAUGUGGACAGCCGAAUUAACCCCUUGUGGAAGCAUUUUUUCUAAUAAUAUACACAGAGGCGUUGAGAGGAAAGAGUUUUAAGAAGUUAUGUCUGGAUUUAAAAGAGAGCAUGAAUAAUGACUGUCUGAAAUAGCACCCAUUUCCUUUAUAGUGCACUACGUUUGACCACUGAAGGCCACUGGUCUAAAGUAGUGCCCUUAUGUAGGGAAUAGGGUUCCAUUUGACAAGCAGACUAGGACUCGUUUUCAAGAGGCCUCACUGGCCAGUGAGCAGGUGUCAGUUGGUUGAAUCAGACUAGGACUCGUUUUCAAGAGGCCUCACUGGCCAGUGAGCAGGUGUCAGUUGGUUGAAUCAGACUAGGACUCGUUUUCAAGAGGCCUCACUGGCCAGUGAGCAGGUGUCAGUUGGUUGAAUCAGACUAGGACUCGUUUUCAAGAGGCCUCACUGGCCAGUGAGCAGGUGUCAGUUGGUUGAAGCAGACUAGGACUCCUUUUCAAGAGGCCUCACUGGCCAGUGAGCAGGUGUCAGUUGGUUGAAGCAGACUAGGACUCGUUUUCAAGAGGCCUCACUGGCCAGUGAGCAGGUGUCAGUUGGUUGAAGCAGACUAGGACUCCUUUUCAAGAGGCCUCACUGGCCAGUGAGCAGGUGUCAGUUGGUUGAAGCAUGAACAUUUCUCUCCCUCUGUUUCUUCCAGGUCGGGUUAAGAUAAAUAUUGCACCGUUAUACUGUAGCAUUCCACAGUACGGUUCCAGAUUCCACAUGGAGCAAACACAGUAUUUUGAUAUAAAAUAUUCAGACAUAUUAUAUAAUCACUUUAUUGAGGUUUAACUGUUGUUUAACUGUCUUUUCCAACAUAAGUCGUUUUUCUGGUUUGAUUUGACCUUCGUAAAGCCACGUCGGAGAGAGAUUAUUGUUUACCUGGUAUGGAUAACAGAACACCGAGGAUGAGUAGUUGACUAUUGGUGAUGAAGAGGGGUUUGUGUGACUAUCAAAGUCAUAAAUAGUUUGGGGGGUUGGUUAAUGUUGAGUUAAAGACGUUGUUUUAUUGGUCCGCGUCUCACUUUAAGGCAGUAGUAGAACGUUGUACCCAUCAGGUUUAAACAAGUCUGUAAUACAUUUAAAUACUUCAGUAAUACCCUAAAACCACUUUUUGGCAAAGUCGUCUGUCCUUAUUGCGUUUAUAUGUGAAAGAACUAUUCACGAGAAACAACAAAAGUUAUUUUUUUGUGAUAUUAGUAGUGGCACUACUGUUAAAUGUAGUAUUUUAAGAAGAACAAGCACUAUUUAUGGUCAUUAAAAUGAACUAGAAUGUGUAUUGUGCAUUAUGGUAGCUUUGGAGGCAGCCAUCUUGUUUUGUAUCAAUUUCCUCAUGCUCAGAGACAGUCACUCACUUCAUGUAAGGGGUUCAACUAGUUGUUGAGUGGACUUGCCCAAAUCCGAGCUCCCUUUUCUCCUUUGAAUGACAAGUCUGCAUGGUCUCACCAACAGACAUUACCGCCCAUUCCCUCAAAUCUUACUUUUUUAUUUUCUAUAAAGAAAAACAAUUCUAUUACUUUAUUUUUAAUUUCUUGUUUCAUUCUUUCAUUUAAACCAAUUUUUAAAGAGAAAGAAUACAAUAAAUACAAAUCUGAAUAUUCAAUCACUUUUUCUACUUCUAUUUUCAAAAUAACUGAAAAAAAAAACCUAAUAAAAAGUUGAUUUGUAUAUAAGUGAUGUACAGUUUGUAUCUGUUAAUGUCAGUCUGUCUUUGGUGACAGAGUCUGUCUUGCUUAUAACGCACGCUACCAGUAAAUAAAAUAAAAAUAUAUUUAGACUGUACGGUCCUUGAAAGCAAGUUUUAAAUUAAUCUGAUGUAUAUUCCUGUAACAUUGCAUUUUUAUCUGAGGAAUUAUGUUAUUAAAAAAAAUUGCUAAUAAAUUGCAUUUCCUACAGCUCCUUUUUGGAUUCUCUUAUCUAUUCUAGAGGUUUGGGAGGCAUCACAAUGCAGAAGCAUAAGUCCAAUACUUGGAAUAAGUAUAGCCAACAUUUUAAACCAACUAUUUUUUUAAUGGUCCCCCCAAAAAAAUUGUAUUCCACCUGUGGUUACGAUGGUCUUUGUGUUGUCAGUGGGAGAAUUUAGAACCCUGUGUCCCUGUUCAACUGUAUUCCACCUGUGGUUACGAUGGUCUUUGUGUUGUCAGUGGGAGAAUUUAGAACCCUGUGUCCCUG